UAGUGGGCUUUUGUUGGGUAUAAGACACCUAGUGGCCAAUGCACUAAAGAACUCUUUGACACCUAACUAAGCUGUGCAGUGUUAAGGCGUUCCUGUGCUCUGCUGUCUAUGGAUGCUGCACGAUCUGGUUAUUGGUUGGAGACCUCAGAACUGGUUCUGCUUGUGGGACUUGCCUGAUCCUGAGCUCUUCUCUGCUCAGAUAAGCUUCACUAGAGUGCACUGGGUGAAGGACUGUUCCUUUCAGCUCCAGCAUAAUAUGCUUUUGUCCUGUAAUACUCUUCCAGCCAGGGUGGUGUUGCAAGAAGCCCCACUUGCUAAUGAAUAGCAGGUGCAGGGAAAGGAAGUCUGGGUCUGUUUUUGCUCACUAGCAACACCUGCUUCUCUUUUUGGUACAGGGAAUCAAACCGAGGGCCUCACAAAUACUAGGGUCCCAAGUAGCUGAGGAUAACCAUGGACUCCUGGUCCUCUUACCACCUCCUCCCCAGUACUGGAACUGUAAGCACGCUCCACCGUGACCAGUUUUAAAGACAGAAUUGUCCAUUGUGGAAAAACAAAACAAAACAAAAAAAAUGGCAGCAAUCACACACACUCCCCGAGAGACCAAAGCCUUGGGCUCUGCACACCCUACCUGCCGCACACAAAGGAAAAGCUGGAGGGGGAAACCAAAGGCUGUGAA